ACUCCUACGGGAGGCAGCAGUGGGGAAUUUUGGACAAUGGGGGCAACCCUGAUCCAGCCAUGCCGCGUGAGUGAAGAAGGCCUUCGGGUUGUAAAGCUCUUUCGGCCGGGAAGAAAUCGCGCCAGCUAAUACCUGGUGUGGAUGACGGUACCAGAAGAAGAAGCACCGGCUAACUACGUGCCAGCAGCCGCGGUAAUACGUAGGGUGCGAGCGUUAAUCGGAAUUACUGGGCGUAAAGCGUGCGCAGGCGGCUCUAUAAGACAGAUGUGAAAUCCCCGGGCUUAACCUGGGAACUGCGUUUGUGACUGUAGGGCUUGAGUGCGGCAGAGGGGGGUGGAAUUCCACGUGUAGCAGUGAAAUGCGUAGAGAUGUGGAGGAACACCGAUGGCGAAGGCAGCCCCCUGGGUCGACACUGACGCUCAUGCACGAAAGCGUGGGGAGCAAACAGGAUUAGAUACCCUGGUAGUC
rnacentral:rRNA from 1 species